rnacentral:rRNA from 1 species
UACGGAGGGUGCAAGCGUUAUCCGGAAUCACUGGGUUUAAAGGGUGCGUAGGCGGUUUGAUAAGUCAGUUGUGAAAUUCACCGGCUUAACCGGUAGAACUGCGAUUGAUACUGUUAGACUUGAAUCAGGUUGAGGUAGGCGGAAUGUGGCAUGUAGCGGUGAAAUGCAUAGAUAUGCCAUAGAACACCGAUUGCGAAGGCAGCUUGCUGGACCUAGAUUGACGCUGAGGCACGAAAGCGUGGGGAGCAAACAGG